rnacentral:rRNA from 1 species
CACCGCGGUUAUACGAGAGGCCCUAGUUGAUAGCUACGGCGUAAAGGGUGGUUAAGGAGAGCAAAAAUAAAGCCAAAGGGCCUCUUGGCCGUCAUACGCUUCUGAGCGUCCGAAGACCUAGUACGAAAGUAGCUUUAACACGCCCACCUGACCCCACGAAAACUGAGAAA